GCCUAACAAUGCAAGUCGAGCGGUAUAUAGUGGAAUGAAACUUCGGUCGAGUGAAGCUAUAGAGAGCGGCGGACGGGUGAGUAACGCGUAGGCAACCUGCCCCAUACAGAGGGAUAGCCUCGGGAAACCGGGAUUAAAACCUCAUAACGCGAGGAGUUCACAUGGACUUCUCGCCAAAGAUUCAUCGGUAUGGGAUGGGCCUGCGUCUGAUUAGCUAGUUGGUGAGGUAACGGCUCACCAAGGCGACGAUCAGUAGCCGACCUGAGAGGGUAAUCGGCCACAUUGGAACUGAGACACGGUCCAAACUCCUACGGGAGGCAGCAGUGGGGAAUAUUGCACAAUGGGCGAAAGCCUGAUGCAGCAACGCCGCGUGAGCGAUGAAGGCCUUUGGGUCGUAAAGCUCUGUCCUUGGGGAAGAAACAAAUGACGGUACCCUUGGAGGAAGCCCCGGCUAACUACGUGCCAGCAGCCGCGGUAAUACGUAGGGGGCGAGCGUUAUCCGGAAUUAUUGGGCGUAAAGAGUGCGUAGGUGGCCAUAUAAGCGCGGGGUGAAAGGCAAUAGCUUAACUAUUGUAAGCCUUGCGAACUGUGUGGCUUGAGUGCAGGAGAGGAAAGUGGAAUUCCUAGUGUAGCGGUGAAAUGCGUAGAUAUUAGGAGGAACACCAGUGGCGAAGGCGACUUUCUGGACUGUAACUGACACUGAGGCACGAAAGCGUGGGGAGCAAACAGGAUUAGAUACCCUGGUAGUCCACGCCGUAAACGAUGAGCACUAGGUGUCGGGGUCGCAAGACUUCGG
rnacentral:rRNA from 1 species